rnacentral:tRNA from 1 species
CGCAGGAUAGCCAAGUGGUAAGGCCACCCGCUCAUAACGGGUAGAUCGUGGGUUCGAUUCCCGCUCCUGCAACCA